GCAAAUAUUCAGAUUAACAGUUUGGAGAAGUGGUUUGUGUUCUGGUAAAUUUAAAAUACACCUGCCUAAAUAAAGGAACUUCUCUGUUGAUAUAAAUAAUACACAUUCCACAAAAUGCUCAAAUGAAAUAGCUGAAUAAGAGGCUUUAGAUACACACUGACUGUUGUAGGCUGAAGUGCACCUUUGUGGGCAAUACAACUGACCCGGUGACAAGGUGUAUGAAGUUUUUCUGAGGAACAAGUGUCAUCGAUCAGAAGCGAUUAAUGCAAGGAACAGUGUCUUAUCAGCUGCCGUGAGCAUCACACAACCCUCGCUCCCCGCGGAAGAGCAGCGGUACGAUCCGCCGCGCACAUUUACAGGCAAGAAAUUACUAUCAAAUCCCCAAAGCGCUCGGCAAACGAAGGGUGCGCGUUGCGCGGGCGAGGGAUCUGAUGUGGACUUAAACACAAAUGAAAGGAGGAUUCAUGCAACAGAUAGAACAGAUAUAUGCCUAACCCGACGCCGUAGAACAGAUAAACACGCUCGCAUUUAUUGUCGCUAUUGAAAUCAGCAAGCCGCUGUGGUUCAGAAGUCAAACGGAGGUCAUCCUUUAUAUCCCCCCGCAGCAAUCUGCGACCAGGGGCCAGUCAGCAGUGAACCCUGCCAUCUCCACUCCUGACAACUGCCACAAAGUUACAAGACUAUCGGGAAUGGGUAAGACGCGCUGGGAUAAAACAGCAGGCUACUAACUUUUUCUUGAUCUUGCCUCUGCCUGGUUAUAAUGCUCUUACAGCGUGUUUCAAGUGCUUGUCAAUUGUGAAGUGUGUGAAUAUUCAAAUAAUCGUGUAUCUAUUUAUUUGAAGAGUUUCCUUAUCCAAGCGCGCAACAGAGACGUUUUAGACAAUUAGUAGCUAAUAAAAUAAUAAAAGGGAAUCAGAAAAUUUAAUUAAUUGACUUGAUAAUGUUACACAUACAAUAUGAUGAUAAAACUGUAAAACUAUACAAAAAACCUUUGGGCACUUUGGAUAAUUCAUACGUUUUUUAAGCUAUAGCCUACGUACAUUAAUCAGAUACGUGCAUGCGUCCGGGAAUUUUAGGCACGACUCGGUCUGAAGGAAAAACACACUGGCUAAAAUAUAUAUUUUUUUACAGGUGUAGUUGAAAUUGUUACAUUAAGCCUUUACUUACAUUUUAUUAAUUGGGAACAUUAAAAAGAACGCACUAUUAUUGAUGUAUUAUAAUGUACAUAUUCAUAAGUCUAAUAAAAAAUAGAAAUCAGUGUGGUUUUGUUUUAUUUGGCGUUGUGGUUUUAUUUGAUUGAACUUUGUUGUUGUUGUAUUUAUGCUUGCUAUAUUUAUGCUUAAUCUUAUUAUUUUAACAAACUUUCUUAAUUGAGAAACGUACUGCAGGCCUAUUGGAUUUGCAAUAAUGUAAACUACUACACACGAUCCAUAAGAAAAACAUAUUUAUCAUAUGCAAAGGCUUGCAGUGGCCUGUAUGCUUGAUCAUGUGCGCCUUCUGCUGGAAACAUACAGAAUUUUCUUUCUUUGUUUCUUAAUGAGCCGCAAUGACUUUUCUGACACGCACAAAAACAGGCGAAAUGCAGUCAAUAUUGUCGCGUCACUUUUAAAUAACUGUUAAAACACAAAUUCUUAGUUUAAUAAUGGAGGACAAUUUAGGAGGCUGUAUGGACUAUGUAUUAAUUAAUAUAUAAAAGUUGACAAAGUAUUUUUUUGAUGACGGAUCAUAUGGUAGCUUAAAAUCUAGGCUUAAU
ensembl:lncRNA